CUGGGACCGGCCGCUUCUCUGCCUCCCUCAGCCCUGGCUGACAGCAGCGCCUGCACUGCUGGAGCCUCGGAGCCGGCAAGCUUGCAAACCUGAUCAACAUGGAGGGAGAUUUAAUCUGUGAAACAGAGUCCAACAAGCUCUUAGUGAGUUAGAAACACAAAUUCCUGGUCAGCAGAAUUGUUAACCCUUGUUAAGGUUUGGGGCUGGACAUGUUCCAAUGUUCUCAGCCCUGCGGGAGGUGAACAGAGCUCGGGAGAAGGAUUUCCAUCGAUACACGAGGAAUGCAGAAUUCGGGGGGCACGAGGACAUUGGUCAGAACCCCCAAGAUAAGGCAGAAAGGAACCAAGGCAGCUCAGUGACUGUGGAACCAGCUCCGAGUGGGCCCAGGGGAAUUGCGGCAGGGGCGGGUCAGGAGCACCGAGCCCUGGAGCAGCGCACAGGAAAGCAGCGAGCCUCGGGAGGAGAGAGAGCAUGGCAGGGAUGAGCAGAAUGAGACACUCAUUAACCAACAGAAGAGAGAAUACUAAUAAAUAAGAGAACUAUGUAACAUGUAGCCAAUGAACAUUCAUGUGUUUGUUUGCUAAAAUAUAUGAAUAGGGAAAAGUAUGGAUAGUUGGGCUGCUUGAUUUGUGGAACACCACUGAGCACAAGGCUUGGCAACUCUGAAAUAGACAAUCAAUGUCUCUCUCAAGUGUGUAUUUACUGGCUGUUGCACAGUAAUGGAUUCAAUUUGUCUGGACAACAGUGCCAUGAUCAGAAUUUAUGAUCAAAACGGGCAUUUCUCUCUGUAUGGACUUUUGAGGCAUUUUCAGGCAGACUGAGUGUCUCUGCCCAAAAUAAUUAAAAACAUUUAUUUUUUAUUAUCACUGCGAAUCCCUUGCCAUGUCAGUUUUUUGCACUCUGAGAUCAAUUAACAAACCACCACAAUACCUGUUCAUAAGGUUGGAUCGUGACAACGUGAGGCAGAAGCCAUAAAGGUACCUGCAGUCAGGAAAAUCCGGUAGGAUAUGUUUUGCAGAGAUGUUGCACAUUAUUGCAGUUAUUCCUGCUUAGUAUGGAGACAAGAACAUGUGAAAUCUGUUGUGCCUCUGUGCUUCUGUUAUGAAGAUAUUUCCAUAUAGGAUCAGCAUUGGUUGGACUUUGACAGUGUACAAAAAAGGAGAAAUAUUCCACGCCUUAAAAGGUUUCAACCAAUAUUUCUGGCACUAAUUUCAACAACAAAAGAGAGGUCCUGAAAUACCUGCAUCAUUCACACUGGUUUGUUAGUCCAUACAAAGUCCGUUAUCUUUUUAAUCUGCCCCUCUUCAGUAACUUUAGUUCUCUGUAUAUCUGCUGGAAUGAUGUACACAGGAGUGCAUUAUUACAUGGAGUGGUUUACAUCUUGCAGGUGACAUACUACAAAACAGUGCUUCCUCUUUUGUUUCCCAUACACAGCAUCUCCAGCAAAGUUCAUUUUUCAGGCUUUGUGUUUGCUGUGCCACAGUAAAUACUUCCUUUUGCUGUCAUGCCACUAACCAUUGCUCGAUUUCAGGAACAUUCUGUUUCCCAAAACUAAAAGCAAAAAUUAAAGAGCAAAUCCUGUUCUUGCUCUCUACUGCACUGCUUAAUCUGGACAAUCCAUAAUUGCAAGAAUUAAUAUUUCAGGCUUAGUUCCAGAAUAUAGUUCCCAUACCUAGCAGCCAAGUGUGUAUAGUUUUAAAGGUUAAAAAAAAAAAAAAAGUAAUAAAAAAUGGUGUAUGAAGGCUGGAAAACUCCUAGAGAACCAGGUGCCUCAUUCCCGCUUUUCUGCCCCACUUCCCCUAGUGUUCCUACUAAAUUCCUUCUAUCCCCUUGGCCGUCUUGGCCCCUGUUUUAUUGAAGCUUUUUCUCUUGCACAGUUGUCUGUUAACUACAUGCAUGUCCUUUUUGUCCUUUUUUUCUUAAUCCCUUCUUCACUUUAGCACCUUUUUUUUUGUUUUCCCCCAAUGCCAGGAGGAGAUUCCCAGUUGAGUUUUUCCCUUAGAAGUCUCAUGACUCUCAGAAAUCUCUGUAGCUGUGGGAGAAGGAUGACCACUUUCAGCUCCUGAAGUUCCACUGGCUGCAUGAGAAUCUCAGUAUAUCAAUAUACAUAUAUAUGUAUGUGACCUCAGUGUGUCAAUAUACAUAUAUAUGUAUAUAAUCUCAAUAUGUCAAUAUAUAUACAAACACCAUCACAUUUUUGUGUUUGCAGGGAAAACCUUGAGAAUUUAAAAGUUGAAAUUUCUGUGGUCAACCAAGAACUGUCGUCAGUCUGUUUUAAAAUAAAAUACUAAAAAACACAAAAAAGUA